AGCUAGCCACAAAACACGUGAGAUUGCCAAGUUUUCUCAGAACCAAGUGAGCCUCCUGUUCACUGAUAUUUGAUGUGAAAAAGAAAACUCUUCUCUUUUUUCCUUCGUGGUGCCGCUGGAUUAAAAAAAAAGAGAGAGAGAGCAACCACCGCUAAUCCUGAUUCCUGAAAGCUCACCCCGCAGGCAGCCAGGAAGCUCGCCGGCGGCAGAUCGAUGGAAGCUGCUCUCGUGAGCGCCGCCAUGGGGGCGAUGAAGCCGCUCCUCUCCAAGCUCUCCGCGCUGCUGGAGGAAGAGUACGCCAAGCUCAAAGGCGCGCGCCGCGACACCCAAUUCAUAAGAGACGAGAUGGCCACCAUGGCCGCCACGCUCCAGAUCCUCGCGGACUCGGAGGAGGAGCUCGACCCUCAGAUGAGGAUCUGGAUGGACGAAGUCCGCGAGCUCUCCUACGACAUGGAGGAUUGCGUCGACGACUUCGUGGCUCGUGCCGACGGCGGCGGACCAGACGCCGGCGGUGGAUCUGCUGCGGGCAUCAAGAAGAUCUAUGACUGGGUCAAGAAGCUCAAGCCUCGCCAUGAGGUCGCCGGGAAGAUAAAGCAACUCAAGGCCCGUGCAUCUGAGGCAAGCGAGAGGCACAAGAGGUAUCGGCUACUCUUGCCAACACCUGACUCUAGGAGUACUGAUUGUGCCAUUGAUCCCCGGCUGCCGGCGUUUUAUGAGGAGGUUGAUAACCUUGUUGGCAUCGAUGGUCCUAAGCGGCAUAUCAUUCAGUGGUUUCACAGGGAGGCCUCUUCCACCCUGCUCAAAGUGCUGUCGAUUGCUGGUCCUGGAGGUCUCGGUAAGACUACUCUUGCAAACCAAGUCUACCGCUCCAUUAAAGACCAAUUUACGUGUUCAGCUUUCGUGUCGGUGUCUCGAAACCCUAAUGUGAAGAAGAUUCUGAGAGAUAUUGCCAAAGGAGUGGGGAUCACUGACAGCACAUCGGAUGAUGAUGUCAAGCAGCUCAUUGAUAGGCUGAGAAAACAUCUCGAAGAAGAAAGGUACUUCAUUAUAAUUGAUGAUGUCUGGGACACAAGAGCAUGGGAAACUAUCAGGCUUGCAUUGUUGAAUAACAAUCUUGGGUGCAGAAUUAUCACUACAACACGUAAUGUUGCAAUUGCAUCAUGUUCUUCUGAAGGUGGAUAUGUUUAUCGAAUGGAACCCCUUAGUUUCGCUGAUUCCAAAAGGUUGUUCUUUAAAAGAGUAUUCAAUUCUGAGGAUUUAUGCUAUCCUCAUCUGGCAAGAGUGUCCAAGGGGAUAUUGGAAAAAUGUGCUGGUCUACCAUUAGCUAUUAUCACUAUGUCUAGUUUGUUGGCUGAUCAGCUUGCGGAAGAGGAAUGGAAGAGGGUGCUAACAGCUAUCGGUUCUGCACUUGCAAAGGAUCCUAACGCUGGGAACAUGACAAAAAUAUUAUCUCUGAGUUACUAUGAUCUUCCUCAACAUCUGAGGACUUGUUUGUUGUACUUGAGUGUAUUCCCAGAAGAUGAUACGAUAAGCAAACAAAGGUUGAUAAGUAGAUGGAUUGCCGAAGGACUCAUUCACGAAGAACAGCAGCGGUGCAAAUAUGAUGUAGGUGAGGGUUAUUUUAAUGAUCUCAUCAAUAGAAGCUUGAUUCAGCCAGUUGAUGUGAGGUAUGGCCAGACAGAGGCAUGUCAAGUUCAUGACAUCAUUCUUGAUUUCAUCACAUGCAAGGCUGCUGAAGAAAAUUUUGUCACUUCCUUCGAUGCUACAGUGCAUCCACACAUUUCUCGUUACAGGGUUCGCAGACUUUGUGUCGAGAAUCACAAUGAUGAAAAGGUUACGAUAUCCUCAAGUCUGAAUCUCUCCCAUGUCCGGUCACUUACUACAUUUGGGUGUUUUGUCCCGAAUUCUUUGUUGGCUUUCCCAGUUCUUCGUGUGUUGGAUAUAGGAGAAUGUUGGUGGUUAAAAAACCAUCAUCUUGCAAAUAUUGAAAAGUUGUUUCUUCUGAAGUACUUGCGUAUCGGAAAAUCUUCAAUAAGUGAGAUCCCAAGAAAAAUUGGAGAACUGCAGUAUUUAGAAACACUUGACGUACGAAGUACUAACAUUGAAGAAUUGCCAUCAACUAUUACAAGGCUUCAACGAUUGACCCGUCUAUAUGUUGAUUGCUGCACUAGAUUUCCUGAUGGUGUAAUUGGACAGAUGCAGAGCUUAGAGGAUCUAGAUGAGUUUGGUGUCUUAUCCUACGAAAAAGGACGAGUGAAUUCUCUCCAAGAAUUCAGUCAGCUAACCAAGCUGAGGAUGCUGAAAAUACUAUGCUCAGAAGGAGGAAGCCAAGCUGACAACCUUCGAAGUUGUCUUGGAACUUUAAUAUCGUCAUGCAAUCUUUACCAUCUAUAUAUCCUCAACGCCCAUCAUAUUCCAGCUCAUCGACGCCUGUCACUACCACUGGAAUCAUGGUGCCCUACUACUCCUUGUAGUCUCCGGAAGCUCCACAUCACAUACUGUUUCAUCAGCAAGGUUCCAAAUUGGAUGAGAUCGCUUGGAAAUUUGAGGGACUUGGAACUCUAUAUCUUCAGUAUGACACAUGAAGAUGUUGCAAUUCUUGGAGCAAUACCCACUUUGCUUUUUCUCAAACUCUGAGACUUUGUACGGGACCAAUGGAAUGAUCUUCAUUCGUGGUUUCAGAAGUCUGAAAUUUUUCAGCUUGAGAAUCUUUUAUUGCGGGACCUCGCUGGAGUUUGAAUCAGGAUCGAUGCCAAAACUUGAACACCUCAAGCUUGAAUUCUGUGGGCAUGAUGCUCAUGAUUUUGGUAUUCAGCACCUAUCCACCCUCACCAAGGUUGAGGUCAUUAUUAAUAAGGGUGACUUACACUCUGCAGAUACUGUUGGAAUGCUUGUCACAGAUGCCAUAGAGACACUUCCCAAUCAUCCCACUCUAUCAUUUGUAUAUCAACAAACUUAUGCACAGUGUGUACAUUUUUUGAAGUUUGUAAAAUCUUACAAGGCGGACGAAGAAGAAGAAUAAGAAAGUUCUACCUAUUGAUGAUGGCAGAUGCACAACACUACUGACAACCCGCAGCCGCCGCCACUGCCGACGACCGUGACGUCCUGCUGCUCCUGCGCGCUUCCUGCCACACCACGGGUUCAUCUCGCGAACAGACCUCCGGCGGUGAAGAGCCUGACAGAGCGUACGACGCGGCGGCCGUGCAGCUGUGUGGGGCGGGGGCCAAAACCAGCUUCAAGGUCAAGCAACCCGUGGCCAGCAUCGUUAAUGCCGAGGAGGCCCUGCUCCAGCGCGUCUACUAUCAGGACAAGGACGCCGUUGUGUUGUCUGACGAAGAGACGGACAUUGUCGGCGAUCAAUGGGAGGUCUGCUCUCAACACCUGGUGCAGCCACGGGUGAUGGGGCUGGUGAACUCCAAAGUUCAGGCCAGGACAAGGGAGCCGGCGAGUCCAGAGUCCUUGGUGGCGUUCCAUGGUGAUCACCAGCAUCGGCUGAAUCCACUGUGGCUCAACUGCUUUGGUACCGCCGAGGAAGCUGCGGGAGGCUACGACACGGAGGCCACCAAGCUGCACAGCGUGGUGGCACAAACCAACUUCAAGUAACCUGUAGCCGCUAAUGACAGUGGCACCCUCCUCCCCUCCAUAAGCUAUGAUUACACCAGUGAUGACCCGCUGCUGGCACUCCUCAACGACUUCCCAGAACAGCCAGCACUCAGCGAUUUCCUGGAACAGCCAGUGGUUCUCAACGCCUUCCUAGAACAGCCGGGGUUCAACCUUCUUUUGGAGAACAUCAUCCCAGUGGUGCAGCUUGAUGAUCUCAGGAUCAACUUACCACCGACAGGGUGGCAGCUGGUUGAAGCUUUCUGAACGACAUGGACUUUACCUGAUGUGGUGGCUUAGCAAUUGCAGAUGUGGAAAUGCUCUUGUCUUUGUUGGGGUUGGCUUGCUGCUUAUGAAUGUUAACAAGUGUGGCUUAACAAACAGGUGCCUGAAAUUUUCUCAUGCUUCAGUCACUAUUUUGGCCCUUUGGAUUAUCAUCCAAUGGCUGCAAAUCUCUUUUUGACUCCUUUGUGGGUAGAAGGAAACACCAACAUAUCACCCAGAUAGGGCGAAGUCCGUCAGCUGAAUAAUACAGAUUUAGUGUUGGCUUUAUUUAGUAUGGAAAAGUUGAGUCAGGAGUGUGCUCUUACAUACUCCCUCCCUCUCAUAGUGACGAGAUAUUACAUGUAUCUAGAUGCUUUUUAGGUAUAGAUACAUCUAUAUUUGGGCAAAUUUGAGUCACUUGAUAUGGGACGGAGUGAGUAUAUGACUCUAGCCUAAUUAUGGCAUUAUGCGUGUUAUUAUUAUCAACUCUAGAAAGAAAAUUUAUGAUGACAGAUUAUCCUUGUUACUA